rnacentral:rRNA from 1 species
CCUACGGGAGGCUGCAGUGGGGAAUAUUGGACAAUGGGCGAAAGCCUGAUCCAGCCAUGCCGCGUGUGUGAAGAAGGCCUUCGGGUUGUAAAGCACUUUCAGUGGGGAAGAAAGCCUUGGGGCUAAUACCCUCGAGGAAGGACAUCACCCACAGAAGAAGCACCGGCUAACUCCGUGCCAGCAGCCGCGGUAAUACGGAGGGUGCGAGCGUUAAUCGGAAUUACUGGGCGUAAAGCGCGCGUAGGCGGUCUGAUAAGCCGGUUGUGAAAGCCCCGGGCUCAACCUGGGAACGGCAUCCGGAACUGUCAGGCUAGAGUGCAGGAGAGGAAGGUAGAAUUCCCUGUGUAGCGGUGAAAUGCGUAGAGAUCGGGAGGAAUACCAGUGGCGAAGGCGGCCUUCUGGACUGACACUGACGCUGAGGUGCGAAAGCGUGGGUAGCAAACAGGAUUAGAUACCCGUGUAGUC